UGUAGGCGGUUGUUUAAGUUUGGUGUGAAAUCUCCCGGCUCAACCGGGAGGGUGCGCCGAAUACUGAGCGACUUCGAGUGCGGGAGAGGAAAGUGGAAUUCCUGGUGUAGCGGUGAAAUGCGUAGAUAUCAGGAGGAACACCGGUGGUGUAGACGGCUUCCUGGACCGUAACUGACGCUGAAACACGAAAGCGUGGGUAGCAAACAGGAUUAGAUACCCUGGUAGUCCACGCCCUAAACGAUGCACAUUUGGUGUGGGUCAUUCAGUUGAUCCGUGCCGGAGCUAACGCGUUAAAUGUGCCGCCUGGGGAGUACAGUCGCAAGGCUGAA
rnacentral:rRNA from 1 species